rnacentral:rRNA from 1 species
GACGAACGCUGGCGGCGUGCUUAACACAUGCAAGUCGAGCGGUAAGGCCCUUUCGGGGGUACACGAGCGGCGAACGGGUGAGUAACACGUGGGUGACCUGCCCUCAGCUCUGGGAUAAGCCUGGGAAACCGGGUCUAAUACCGGAUAUGACUCCAUGACGCAUGUUGUGGGGUGGAAAGCCUUGUGCGGCUGAGGAUGGGCCCGCGGCCUAUCAGCUUGUUGGUGGGGUGAUGGCCUACCAAGGCGACGACGGGUAGCCGGCCUGAGAGGGCGACCGGCCACACUGGGACUGAGACACGGCCCAGACUCCUACGGGAGGCAGCAGUGGGGAAUAUUGGACAAUGGGCGAAAGCCUGAUCCAGCGACGCCGCGUGUGUGAAGAAGGCCUGCGGGUUGUAAAGC